UACGGAGGGGGCUAGCGUUGUUCGGAAUUACUGGGCGUAAAGCGCACGUAGGCGGCUUUGUAAGUUAGAGGUGAAAGCCCAGGGCUUAACCCUGGAAUUGCCUUUAAGACUGCAUCGCUAGAAUCGUGGAGAGGUGAGUGGAAUUCCGAGUGUAGAGGUGAAAUUCGUAGAUAUUCGGAGGAACACCAGUGGCGAAGGCGGCUCACUGGACCAUAACUGACGCUGAUGCACGAAAGCUAGGGGAGCAAACAGG
rnacentral:rRNA from 1 species